UAACACACUUGGAUGAAGUAAACUAACCAUUAAAUUUGACGAAUAUUCAGGAUAUUCAUGAAUGAUGGUAUAUAUAUUUAAUGAUAUAGAAUAGAAUAAUCAAGUAAUGAGAAUAUGAAAGAAAGCAUUGUGGAAUUGAAGCACUUUUAUUGUUUAAUCACAAUUCCAGUGUCUUUCACUGUAUGACAGUAUUAGUUAUAAAAAAAACAUUAAUUUGAAAAACAACUGGGGAAAACCUAUUAAAAUUGGUGAUUACAUUAAAAAAGUAUAUUCUUUGAUUAUAAUCGAUAAUCAUUCACAAAAGUUCUCCGAUAAUCGAUAGUCGAUUUGGGUUCCCAACACUAGUGGCUGUGUCAUAAUGGGCACCUUCAUUACAGCUCUGUUAGGCAACCAGUAACCUGUGAUCUUGGGUUCGAAUCCAAUUUUGCCUCAGUCAUGUUUCUAGGUUUGUCUGUACCGAUACUCACGAGCUCCACCAAAGCAAUAAACCUGAGACCUGCAUCAUUUCGAGCUAUAUAUAGUUGUAUCCUGAGAAUAUGCAGAAUCCGUUGUCUUCAUCUACCUAUCGUCUUCCUGUUACAACAUGGUGGUGUCAUUUUCCUUGCUCUCCAUCUUAUUUCUCAACACUGACAUUACUCUCCACUGCUUUAGGUCUGAGCGAUGCAAAAUAUUUACAACCAGUACCAGUGGUCAAAUAGUCUGUGUUAGGGUUAGUCACUGAAUUGUGCAGAGUUGCUUCCCUUGAGUAGCUCAUGUGUUUCUACAGUUUGUUAAACAGCUUUGUCACUUAUGUUGGCAUAGCUCCGCUUCACACUAUCCCCUGUAAGUAUGUAUCCAUGUAACAUGAUGCCCAUGUUUUCUGACUAUCUGUCUCAGAACAGCUGAUUCAGCAGUAAAAGACAAUCACUCCUUGAUGAAUCCAAACUUUGUGACUGGCUUUUUCCAAAUGGCUUUGAUUUUACUGCUGAAAGUUAACAGGUGGCAUUACCACAGACAAAUAAAUGGCCUCAUCCUUAUGAUGUAGAAGUUGUGUGAGAAUGUAGAUGUGCUUGACUAACGAAUCAUGCAGUGUCAGUAUGUGUUAGUAUGUGUCAGUACACGUAAAACAGGCUCAAGGGGUGCACUCGUAUGUUCCUUGUCUUGUACACCCAGAUACUGAGGGUCCAGGGUCACUCAAACAUUCAUUGUCAUGUACACCCUGAUACUGAGGGUCCAAGGUGUACUCAAACAUUCAUUGUCUUGUACACCCUGAUACUGAAGGUCCAAGGUGUACUCAAACAUUCAUUGUCUUGUACACCCUGAUACUGAAGGUCCAAGGUGUAUUCAAACAUUCAUUGUUUUGUACAACCUGAUACUGAAGGUCCAAGGUGUAUUCAAACAUUCAUUGUCUUGUACAUCCUGAUACUGAAGGUCCAAGGUGUACUCAAACAUUCAUUGUCUUGUACACCCUGAUACUGAAGGUCCAAGGUGUACUCAAACAUUCAUUGUCUUGUACACCCUGAUACUGAAGGUCCAAGGUGUACUCAAACAUUCAUUGUCUUGUACACCCUAAUACUGAAGGUCCAAGGUGUACUCAAACAUUCAUUGUCCAGUACACCCUGAUACUGAAGGUCCAAGGUGUACUCAAACAUUCAUUGUCUUGUACACCCUGAUACUGAAGUUCCAAGGUGUACUCAAACAUUCAUUGUCCAGUACACCCUGAUACUGAAGGUCCGAGGUGUACUCAAACAUUCAUUGUCUUGUACACCCUGAUACUGAAGGUCCAAGGUGUACUCAAACAUUCAUUGUCUUGUACACCCUAAUACUGAAGGUCCAAGAUGUACUCAAACAUUCAUUGUCCAGUACACCCUGACACUGAAGGUCCAAGGUGUACUCAAACAUUCAUUGUCUUGUACACCCUGAUACUGAAGGUCCAAGGUGUACUCAAACAUUGUCUUGUACACCCUGAUACUGAAGUUCCAAGGUGUACUCAAACAUUCAUUGUCUUGUACACCCUGAUACUGAAGGUCCAAGGUGUACUCAAACAUUCAUUGUCUUGUACACCCUGAUACUGAAGUCCAAGGUGUACUCAAACAUUCAUUGUCUUGAACACCUCAAUAUCGAGAGUUGAUGUUGAUGCACUGAGACACUCUGUAGAUACAAAUUAGUUCCCAUUUCGUCAGUGUUCGUAAUAUCGCUGGGAAAUUGUUUGCGAUAUUUAGCAAUCUGACUUGGAUGCAUUGUGAGCUGGACCAUUAUCUAUUGUUUUAAGUCCUGUUGGCACCUGUAUAGUACCCACAGAUGUCACAUAAAUACACAUGUAUAUAUAUAUGAGGGCAUUAGUCUUUCUUUGGCAACAUGUUUACUGGUUUCUAUGGUGAUGGCUGAGGAUUCUGCUUCUGUUAUUUUAGCAAUGGCGAAUGAGUAAAAAAGUAUUAUUAUUUCACAAUCUUAAUCAAAGUGCAGCACCUUCGACAAGAACAGAAAGUCUGUGGUUCAAACCCUGGUGCAUCAUAUUCAAAGGUGUAUUUGUUGUUACCUUGCCUCACGAUCUGUGGGGCGGUGGGUUAGUCUGGUGGUUAAAGCGUCUGCUUGUCACGCCAAAGACACGGGUUCUAUUCUCCAUGUGGCCACAAUGUGUGAAGCCGAUUUCUGGUGUCCGCCGCCAUGACAUUGCUGGAAUAUUGCUAAAAGCGGCAUAAAACCAAACCCACUCACUCACUCAUGUUCUGCAUUAAGAGGUGUAUAAAGACAGUUAGGCUUAUAGUCAAUAUACUGUGACUCCAUGUUGAUCUGCGUCAUGGUAUCAUGCUAGAGGCCUUUACAUAAUCUUAUCGAUAAAACUUGGAUGAUGUUUUUGUCUUUCAUGAGAGUUAUAAUAUUAGCAUCUAUUUGUAAGAAAAUAUUAGUAUAUAUUAGUAUUAAUAUAAGUAUUUAGCUGAUCGGGUGAUGCUCUAUUAGUGUCUUUUACACCAAUGGUGUACAUACUCAUCAGUAUCAUGCACGGGUCUCGACAAUUACGCUUGUCACCUUCACAAGUGAAAGCAAAUGUUCAUCAGGACCAGUACCGUUGAUAGAUAAAUAUAGAAGAUCUAAGUUGUGAAUGGAAAGUUCUGAAAUAACUGAUAUUUUGCAGUAGUACAGACAUUCUAAGUAAUCCACUAGUGUUGUUAGACCAGGGCGGUGGCUAUCCCAGUGUUCGCUUGUCACGCCAAACACCCGAGUUCGAUUCUCCACAUGGGUACAAUGUGUGAAGCCCAUUUCUGGUGUUCCCAGCCGUGAUAUUGCUGGAAUAUGGCUGAAAGUGGCGUAAAACCAUAAUCACUAACUCACUAUGUCAGACCACAGGGGUUUGUAAUGCAAGAAAAAAGCAUCAAGAUGUAUAUAUAUUGUCAGUACAUGGAUCUUAGCUUUAUUUAAAAGAUUGCCUUUCAUAUAAUAUUAAGACCUUUGCAGUGACAAUAUAUGUUUUGAUGUUCAUGUUUUACGUUACAAGCCCCCCAGUGUGUUAGACAAGGAUUAAGACAACUGCGUCACUACAUCAGAAUGGUUUCUUUUAAAACUCUUGACCAGUGUAUCCAUAGCUUCUGAUGGCGCCUUUGUAUGGACAGAGAGCUGUGGUGCUGCAGUCUCUUACAGCAUUAUAUUUACAUAUAAAUUAUAUUCCUGAAAACCAGGAUAAUGAUGCCUCUAAGUUUAGUUGUUGAGAUAGUUGUCAAAGGCUUCAUUCAAAUGCUGAUUACAUUGAAUCAAAUAUUUAUAUGUCUUUGUUUGUUCUCUGUUAACUUCCGUUAUAUCGCUCAAACAAAUUCUUUAAAUUUAUAAAAAUGAUCAUAUAUCCUUUGUGCCAAUCAUACAUGUAGAUCAUGCAGAUCAUGAAGAUCAUGAAGAUCAAAGGUCUCAUUGGCUAAGUCCUUGCAAAGAUUAUUUUUUCGCAACGAAUGAAAUAGAUUGAACUAUUUUUAUAUAUCAUGCAAUCAUGUGUAGAUAGUUUUUCACGGUAGUGCUAAUUAUACUAUUCCACUUUUAAUGAGAUAUUUCUUUGUUAUCUCUCCAUGAUCUUCAAAUGUUCUGUUAUGUCGGGUGUAUAUUUGAAGAUAUCUCACAAAUGAUUAUCCCUUUGAAAAGUGGAGUAGUAUAUAUCAUUGGGUCAGGCAAAGAAUCGGGGUUCUUUUAGUUCGUGUGUUUGUACAAAAUUGUUGGUGGUAUAUCAUGGUGUCUAUGAUUGCUAGUAUAUACUACUCACAACAAGUUAGGGAACAUCGAAAAGAAGGCUGUGAUGCAGUGUCCACAGUCAAUUAACUUUAGAGAUGAAAAAAAAAAUAAGGUGUUCCUUAAUUUUUGUGUGUAGUGUAUAAUGACUCAUCGUGAAUGGCAGUGUUCAUGCUUAAGUUUUUUAAUAUAUAGUAUUCAUUUGUAGACUAUUUUAUGUUGAGAAAAUGAGUGAAAAUUGUUUGAUUUCUGAAUGAUUUUUGUUGAUGGUAUUAGCACACAAACUGAAUCAUUUUGUUGUUGUGUCCAGGGUCAUGUGUGCGGCUCAGAAAUCCUCCAUAUUAGUUCCUGAAGUCAGUCUCGUUUCCAUUUGACCAUUAUUUCUUUCAGAUUAUUUGUAUUUGGCAAAGCAUUUUUACUGUGCAAGUGUGUUAUAGAUGCUGAAUUACUAAGGAUUGUUGAGAUGUCAGUGUUUAAAAUUAUGGAUGGAAGUCUGGGAUGUCUUGUGUGGAUAAGUAUUAACAUUUCAGGGUCUUACUGUGUUCAAAGGACAUCUUACCACAUGGCUUACUGUUGAUACUAAAGGUUAAAUGGGCCAAAAAUCAGAAUGUGGAUUUUAGGGGAACAUGUAAAUUGUGGACUAAUAUCCGAAAAGAAAUUAUAUCAAAAGGGAUGCUAAACCCUGUGUUCAAAACCAUGGAUCAUAUAUCCCUAGGUACAAAUAUUCACUCAGAAACAGUUAAGGACUACAAAGUCUGUCAAAGCAUGGCAUGACAGAUUAACUAUAAUAAUACAAAAGAAUUGGGUGGUCCUUUACUUUUUUUGAGCAGUUUUAGAUCAAAACAUCCCUCUUACUUUCACUGGAUAAUAUAUAAGAUGGCCACAAAUGUAUUUAUUAGUAUGUGUUCAGAUUGGUAUCAUUUUGAAAUAUAUUUUACACUGAACUUGUACAUGUGUUAUAGAGAUUUUUACAUAUGUUUAUUGCCUUUAUAAUGUAUUGCAAGUACUGGGCAGUUUUUAGGGUUGAUUAUGAUGUCAAUGUUGACAGCGGGAGAUAUAUUAUUCAUGUUUAGGAUAUUAAAUAAUUUCUAAUA